rnacentral:rRNA from 1 species
GAUGAACGCUGGCGGCGUGCCUAACACAUGCAAGUCGAACGCGAAAGGGCUUCGGCCCGAGUAGAGUGGCGGACGGGUGAGUAAUGCGUGGGAAUCUACCCUAGAGCGGGGGACAACCCGGGGAAACUCGGGCUAAUACCGCAUACGUCCUACGGGAGAAAGGGGGCCUCUGAAUGUAAGCUCCCACUCCAGGAUGAGCCCACGUCCGAUUAGCUAGUUGGUAGGGUAAAGGCCUACCAAGGCCACGAUCGGUAGCUGGUCUGAGAGGAUGACCAGCCACACUGGGACUGAGACACGGCCCAGACUCCUACGGGAGGCAGCAGUGGGGAAUAUUGGACAAUGGGCGCAAGCCUGAUCCAGCAAUGCCGCGUGUGUGAAGAAGGCCUGCGGGUUGUAAAGCACUUUCAGUGGGGAAGAACGGGCGAACGGUAAGUACCCUACGGCGUCUGACGUUACCCGUACCAGAAGAAGACACCGGCCUAACUACCCGUCGCCACGCAAGCCGCCGGUAAGUAUACUACGUGUACU